AAUUAGAAAAAAAUUGAAAAAUGGCGAAACAGAAAAAAAAACUAACAGCAGAAAAAAUCCCGCAAGAGAGCGAUUUACCCGUGCGGGUGUUAGGAACUGCACACGCACAUGCGUAGACAAUGGUUGCGACACAUGCAUACAGUGCGCACGUCCCAUCUGCACACCAGCAUGCACGAGACGUGCGCACAACGUGCACAUCCCCUUCGCACGCACGCACGCACGGGAUGUGCGCACAGCGCGCACGUCCCUUCCACGAGCAUGACGCGGGGUCAGGACCUGCGCGUGCGUCCUGUCUCGAGCUUGCAGGCUGUCAGCGUGUCACCACGCACACGGACUGGCGCCGCACACUAUACGCGCGUUGUUCGCGCAGUAGACCUUCACGGACAAGCCUUAUGCACUUGGGGCUUG
rnacentral:lncRNA from 1 species